rnacentral:rRNA from 1 species
AACAAACGCUGGCGGCGUGCCUAAUACAUGCAAGUCGAACGGGGAAAGUAGCAAUAUGAGUACUAGUGGCGCACGGGUGAGGAAUACAUGGGUAAUCUGCCUUCAAGUUUGGGAUAACCAGUCGAAAGAUUGGCUAAUACCGGAUAAGACCACAUGAACUGCGGUUCAAGAGGUCAAAGGUUUUUCGCUUGAAGAUGAGCCCAUGUGGGAUUAGCUAGUUGGUGAGGCAAUGGCUCACCAAGGCGACGAUCCCUAACUGGUCUUAGAGGAUGAUCAGUCACACUGGAACUGAGACACGGUCCAGACUCCUACGGGAGGCAGCAGUAGGGAAUAUUGCGCAAUGGGGGAAACCCUGACGCAGCGACGCCGCGUGAGUGAUGAAGGCCUUCGGGUCGUAAAGCUCUGUCGUAUGGGACUAACAAAAUGAAGGUACCAUGCAAGAAUAAGAGGCUCCAAACUCUGUGCCAGCAGCCGCGGUAA